GACUCUACUGUACUUUAUUUCCAGUUCCAUUUACGUCAACAACAAAACUGCUGUAGAUUUGACAACUAAGCUUCUUUCAAUACUUUACACCAAUUUAGAGAGCAGGUGCUUCAGUGCUGGAGGGCACAUUCUCAGAUAUUGGUGUAAUGGGAGGAGUAUAUAUGCAUGUUUUCUUGAGAAUUCUAGCAACAAUCCAAUGUUUGCGCUUGCUCAAAGGUCUAGAAGGAUCCAAUC
rnacentral:lncRNA from 1 species